UGUUGUGCACGCAACUAUUUAAUGUGCUGAUAGACAAUCUAUUGUAACCUGCUGACUGUGUAUUUUUUAGUGACCUUACUGUGUGUUUUAUUUCUUUGGUGUUUGUUGGGGUCAAGUAUAUUCUUUGUUUGACUGGAGUAUCCUUAUAUCCAUAAAGAAGAUUGUUGAAAUGGUUACUGAUGGAUUUUCCAACAGAAGAAAAGUACUCAUUAUAAACAUUUGUGAUCUCAUAUUGACAUUUGAUGAUUUUCUUUUUGUAGUUUAUGUAAUUUGCUGGCAAGGUCAUUUCUGGGCAUGAAACACUGAAGCAAUAAUAAAAAUCAGAUGCAAACUCAAUGAAAGUAAUGCAGUUCUUUUCACAUCAUUGUAAGCUUUCUAGCAUACUGUUGAGAUCUGUAACAUUGUCAUGAUCGGUGUUUUUUUUGGUCAUGUAUUGUUUCUUUUUGCUGCUGACAUGAAGAUUUUCAGUUUCUGUCAGUACUGUACACCAUGGUGGUCAGAAAUGGCAAGCUUCAGAACUCGUGCAUUGUACAUAAAGUGAGACACAUUAGUUAUAAUGUUGUCAGUGUAUGAUUUGACACUGUUGACCUCUCUAGAGGGCUCAUUUAUCAGAAAAGCUAAGUUAAAUUGAGCUAGUAUUAGCAUUAGUUUUUUAGAGCUGGAGUCAAUGAACAAGAAUUCAGUGUUUAUAUCUCCAAUUAGUGCGAUAUUAAAAGCCAUUUUUAUUGCGA